rnacentral:lncRNA from 1 species
AGAUGGAUUCUUGCUCUGUUGCCCAUACUGGAGUACAGUGAUGCAAUCUCGUCUCACUGCAACCUCCGCCUCCAAGUUCAAGAGAUUCUCCUGCCUCAGCCUUCUGAGUAGCUGAGAUUACAGGUGCCCACCACCACGCCCAGUUACCCACACGCUUUUUAUUGCACUUCCUGAGCAAAUGCAUAGCUUUAAAUGACUGUGGUGGUCUGUGUUUUAGUUUCUUUCCCUUGAAGCUUUAGGGUGUUUUUUUUUUUUUUUGGUAGUAAACAUUUGGGUAAACCGAGGACACUGUAAGUUCACAUCAGCAGAUGGCUCUUCCCUCCUUGUCAGUACCCGGUUUCCUGAGGUAUGAGCUCCCACUCUCUACAGCACCCCCCCUAUAUCUAUCCCUUGCUUCUAAUAAGACCUCCCACUCCUCCCACCCUCCCCUGCCUCUUUCUUUCCGGCUGCUCACUUUGCCUUAUAUGUUACUGCAAUUUAAGAAGGUGACACCAAGAGCACUCACUUUCUUGUCUUCCAUUUCUUGAGAAAAAGCGUCCUUUCUCCUCUUAGAUGCAAAGGCCUCCACUUGUGCUGGACACCCACCUCUGCCUCAUCAAAGAGGUUGUUCCUUUGGCUGGUCCCCUCUCUCCUUUAUUGUCUUCUCUCAUUUCCCCAAUGCACAUUGUGUUGUAAGAGCGUCUGCCUCUUAAAGAACUUACCUGGACCCCACUCACUUCACUUCUUGCCCCAUUUUCCCUUCCCAUUUAAUCUUUCCUCCCCUGAGACAGCAUCACCAACAGCUUUGGGCAAUGCCAAGCCCAGUUAGAUGCUCCUCUCGUUUGUUCUUACGCAGCCUCUCUCCAGCACUGGGCACUGUGGACCACCCCCUCUGGUUGAAACUCUGCUUUCGUGGCUUCUGAGACCUGGUUUUUCUCCUACAUCUACGAUUCUUUCUGCUUAGCGUUUUGAGCCUUUUCUGGCUUGAACCUGAACAACUUCUGAAGGUUGAAGGUCCUCAGAGCUUGGCCCCACGUCCUCUCUAUCUUCUCCUUGAGUUAUAUUCCCAUGGCUUUAGAAACCAUCUAUAUGCUAAUGACUCCCAAAUUUAUAUCUCCAGCUCAGCUCUCCUCUCAGCACUCCCGUCUCAUUUAUCCAAAUUACUUACCUGACAACUCCACGCGGAUGUUUCUCAAACAUCUGAAAUGUAAUAUGUUCAAAACUAAACUCUUGCUUUUUUUCAUGGAAACUUAUUUCUCCAUGAAUCUUCUCCAUCUCAGUGAAUGACAACUCAUUCCACAUAAUUGCCGAAGUAAAAAGACUUGAUGGAUUUUGAUUCUGCACCUCCCACACUCCCACAUCCAAUCCAUCCACAGAAAUGGUUGAUAUACCUCCAGAGUACAUCUUCCAUUGCCACCGCGAUAACCUGCCGGCACCUUGCUUUGUCUCUCGCCACCCGCUCAUACAGUGUUCAAGGUACUCUUAUUAAAACGUAGAUCGGUCCCUUCACUUUCCUGCUAAAACCCCGUUUUUUCCCCCUACAUUGCACUUAGCACUUUAAGUCACUCUCCUGGCCAGUAUAGCCAUGACUGGCCUGGUCUCUGUCUUUGCUGUCCGACUCACACCUAUGGCCACCAACGCCUAGUCACCUGAUUUUCCAUUUGUGCAACAAGCCGGAUUUGUGUACUUUGUUCACAGUGUUCCCUUUGUUUGGAAUGUGUUUUCCUUCUCUCUUCUCAUGGCUGUGUUCUUUUUAUUCAAGUUUCUAUCUAAAUCUCAUCUCUGAUUUAUUUCUCUAACCAUUUUUUCUAGGUAGGAUACCUAGUUAUUCUUGACCACAGUAUCAGUUUUAUUUCCUCCCUAGCAUUUUGUAUUUUAUAGUGAACACUUUGUAUAUUUGCUUCUGUAUUACCUGUGUCUUCCACUAGACUCCAAGUCUCAUCAUCACACACUGACUGCUGAGCACAUAGUAGGGAUUAAUAAUUGUUAAUGAAUGAAUAACUUGAUCUGUCAAUCUCCAAAACAAAUGAAAUAUUCAAGGAUUGUGGAGGACAAGAGAAGAAAUGGUCUGUUUCUUCAAGUAGCUCACAAAUACAUGUUACAACGAUGAGGCCGGAGCUUCUGUAUGAACUUACUCUGCCCUCAACAGAAACCAAACCAUCUUCUGGGUGGUUCUUACACAGGUUUCUUUGCUUUAUAAAAACUCAACCAUGUACUUAGGAGUUGUGUAUGUUUUUAUAUAUGGUUGCACCUCAAUAAAACGGCAUAUCCAAAAGAAAAAGGAAAAGGGAAAAAUGCUAAGAAGUACUUGCCUAAUUUUCUGCAACAAGACUUUAUUUUUAUAAUCAGGAAGACUGACAACAAUUCUCUAAGAACAAAAGAAAUCUCUGAAUAACUGUAUAUUUAGAGAAAAGGAGUUAUUCUCAUUAUUUGUUUAUGAUAUUCUUUUGUAGCUCUUAUAUUGUAAGUUUAUAACACUUUAACGAACCUCCUUAAAUUCCAUUUAACUUGUUAUGGACUGGAAAUUGGGUAUAGUUUUCAGACGUUGGUCUGGUGGGUGAGAUUUAUACCUGGUGGAAUUAGUACAUAGUUUUGGGAUUUGUAUGCCCAAGUACGUGUUCUCUAUCAAAUUUGCUACUUGGGCUGUUUCACUGGCAGACCUGUUAAUAGAAUCUCGUUUGUAUGUGUGUCUCACAGACUACUUUGAAGUGAGGAAUAUUCACGAAGGCCUAUUACAAGCAUCAGAUCACUAGAUCACUAAGAGAGAUGAUAAGAAGGGUCUUGAAAUUACAUACAGAAGAAAAUUUGCUGUUAUGCUUAGUCAUACAUACAUUCUCUGUUUCAAUCCUAGAGAUCUGUCAGGUGGGUAUGCGUAGGAUAUGAGCAGCCACCAGCCAGCCAGAUGCCUCCUAGCAAUAGUCUUCUCACCAGGACCUGAAGUCAAUGUCAUUACCUCACACGCCACUCCAGUGGGCUGCGUGACAUGGCACCGUCGCAGCAUGACACACAGGGAAGUGUUUCUAGUUUCCAGAACAUUUCUGAAACCCACAUCUUCCUUCUACAUCUUUGUAAGAACUUAAAUAUGGUGUGAUGUUAUUGCACAUCCACCAGAGACUUGACGCUUUCUGUUUAAAACCUAACAUAUGCUUAGAUAUUAAUAAAAUAGACUCUAGAACCAACUCCUCUGAAAUGGGCCUGUAACAGAUGCUGUACUGCUCAGAAACUUUACCAAGUAGCUGUAGAGCCCAGCCUCGCCUGGUGACUUACAUACCCCUAGGAGAGUCUUUAACCAAAGACUGACAAGGAUGGGGGUGUUUACUUCAGCUCCUCCUUCUCCCAACUCUCAUCAUCUGCCCAUCCCCCAAACGGGACAACUCUGAGAAGUGUCUCUAGAGUUCUCUUGUAGCAAUGAGCCAAAAUAACCCUUCAUAAGAAUUUACCUAAUGACACACCCUUGUUGGGCUUCCUUCCUUUCCCUGUCUAGCCCCCAGACGCUCUAUUUCUUUCUCCCUUGGGACAGCCCUUCCUAAUAAUUCACUUCCACUUAGUGUCUGCUUCUAGGAAAUCCUACCUAAGACAGGCUUCGUUCCACCUAAAGGCCGAAGCUACUGUGAUAUUUUACAAUCCUUGACUUUUAGCUACAUACUCAUUAUUAUUAUCAUUCUUACUUUAUCCUUUACACUACCUUGAUCACUGGAGUAACCUUAACCUAUCUGCACAUAGAUCUUUAUUUUCUAUUGUGAAGGUGAUAUUAUUAGGAACCACCAACUGAAAUUUUACCACCUCUAUAAAACACCAGACAAACGGUGAGACAUAUUUAGCUUCAUCAUCCACUGUGUGGCUUUUUCUUUUUGUUUUACAUUAAUCCCUAUUAAAGAGAUUAUUGGCUGGGUGCGGUGGCUCACGCCUGCAAUCCCAGCACUUUGGGAGGCCGAGGCAGAUGAUCACCUGAGGGCAGGAGUUGGAGACAGCCUGGCCAACGUGGUGAAACCUCGUCUCUACUAAAAGUACAAAAA